rnacentral:rRNA from 1 species
GACAGAGGCCUCAAGCGUUAGGCGGAAUCACUGGGCUUAAAGCGUGUGUAGGCGGAUCGUUAAGUGUCUUGUGAAAUCCCACGGCUCACCCGUGGAACGGCUGGGCAUACUGGCGAUCUUGGGCCACUAGGGGCAACUGGAACAAGCGGUGGAGCGGUGAAAUGCGUAGAUAUCGCUUGGAACGCCAAAGGUGAAAACAGGUUGCUGGGGUUGUGCC